rnacentral:rRNA from 1 species
UACGUAGGGCGCAAGCGUUAUCCGGAAUUAUUGGGCGUAAAGAGCUCGUAGGCGGUUUGUCGCGUCUGCCGUGAAAGUCCGGGGCUCAACUCCGGAUCUGCGGUGGGUACGGGCAGACUAGAGUGAUGUAGGGGAGACUGGAAUUCCUGGUGUAGCGGUGAAAUGCGCAGAUAUCAGGAGGAACACCGAUGGCGAAGGCAGGUCUCUGGGCAUUAGCUGACACUGAGGCGCGACAGCGUGGGGAGCAAACAGG